UAAUGGACGAAAUGCUUUCUGGCGUAAC
rnacentral:piRNA from 1 species